UACGUAGGGCGCAAGCGUUAUCCGGAAUUAUUGGGCGUAAAGAGCUCGUAGGCGGUUUGUCGCGUCUGCCGUGAAAGUCCGGGGCUCAACCCCAGACCUGCAUUCGAUACGGGCGAACUAGAGUGUGGUAGGGGAGACUGGAAUUCCUGGUGUAGCGGUGGAAUGCGCAGAUAUCAGGAGGAACACCAAUGGCGAAGGCAGGUCUCUGGGCCAUUACUGACACUGAGGAGCGAAAGCGUGGGGAGCGAACAGG
rnacentral:rRNA from 1 species